GCGGAAAUGGCGGAAUUGGCAGACGCGCUAGACUUAGGAUCUAGUGCCGCAAGGCGUGGGGGUUCAAGUCCUCUUUUCCGCACCA
rnacentral:tRNA from 1 species